rnacentral:rRNA from 1 species
UACGAAGGGUGCUAGCGUUGUUCGGAAUUACUGGGCGUAAAGCGCGCGUAGGCGGCGAUGCAAGUCAGAGGUGAAAUCCCCAGGCUCAACCUGGGAAUUGCCUUUGAAACUGCAUUGCUUGAGUGUCGGAGGGAUAGCGGAAUUCCUAAUGUAGAGGUGAAAUUCGUAGAUAUUAGGAGGAACACCGGUGGCGAAGGCGGCUAUCUGGACGACGAACUGACGCUGAGGCGCGAAAGCGCGGGGAUCAAGCAGGAUU